rnacentral:piRNA from 1 species
UUUUUGUUGUUAGAGUUGACAUUCU